UACGAAGGGGGCUAGCGUUGUUCGGAAUUACUGGGCGUAAAGCGCGCGUAGGCGGGUUGUUAAGUCAGGGGUGAAAUCCUGGAGCUCAACUCCAGAACUGCCUUUGAUACUGGCAAGCUAGAGACUGGAAGAGGUUAGUGGAAUUCCCAGUGUAGAGGUGAAAUUCGUAGAUAUUGGGAAGAACACCAGUGGCGAAGGCGGCUAACUGGUCCAGCACUGACGCUGAGGUGCGAAAGCGUGGGGAGCAAACAGG
rnacentral:rRNA from 1 species